rnacentral:rRNA from 1 species
GACGAACGCUGGCGGCGUGCUUAACACAUGCAAGUCGAACGGAAAGGCCUGCUUUCCCUUGUGGAUUGCGGGUACUCGAGUGGCGAACGGGUGAGUAACACGUGAGUGAUCUGCCCCCAACUUGGGGAUAAGCCUGGGAAACUGGGUCUAAUUCCCGAUAGGACUGCAGGGUGGUGCCUGUGGUGGAAAACGAUUUUCUAGUGGUUGGGGAUGAGCUCGCGGCCUAUCAGCUUGUUGGUGGGGGAAUGGCCUACCAAGGCGGCGACGGGUAGCCGGCCUGAGAGGGUGGACGGCCACAUUGGGACUGAGAUACGGCCCAGACUCCUACGGGAGGCAGCAGUGGGGAGUAUUGCACAAUGGGCGGAAGCCUGAUGCAGCGACGCCGCGUGGGGGAUGACGGCCUUCGGGUUGUAAACUCCUUUCGACCGCGAGGAAGCCACCUGGUUGGAAGGGUGGUGACGGUAGUGGUAGAAGAAGCACCGGCUAACUACGUG